CCAAAUAGUGUAUGACGUAAUAGCGUUAUAAUUUAACAGUAUAAAUAAUUAACAGUAAAGCUAAAAAAAUUUCUAAAAAAGUAUAAGUGCAAGUCUAUUAGUUGUAUAUGUUUUAUUUGUAAAAUAAAAUUUUUAAAAGUCAUUUGUCAAUCGGGUAUUUACCAGUUAAAAAAUUAUGCAUAUCCUGUUUAUGUGCUUAUGCCUUAUUGUUAAGAAUUGGAUAAAUUGAUUCAGAUAAAAAUUAAUACAAAUUAAUUAAGUGCUUAUAAAUUAUGCAG